rnacentral:tRNA from 1 species
AUUUUAAUAGUUUAAUAAAAACAUUACAUUUUCAAUGUAAAAAUAAUUUUUAAUUUUAAAAUA